rnacentral:rRNA from 1 species
AUAUUGGUCAAUGGGCGGAAGCCUGAACCAGCCAUGCCGCGUGCAGGAAGAAUGUCUUAUGGAUUGUAAACUGCUUUUCUUCGAGAAUAAUAAGAAGUUUGCGAACUUUGAUGCAGGUAUCGAAGGAAAAAGGAUCGGCUAACUCCGUGCCAGCAGCCGCGGUAAUACGGAGGAUUCGAGCGUUAUCCGGAUUUAUUGGGUUUAAAGGGUGCGUAGGCGGUUAAAUAAGUUUGAGGUAAAAGACCAUUGCUCAACAAUGGCACGCCUUGAAAACUGUUUGACUAGGAAGUAAACGGCGCAGGCGGAAUGAAUCAAGUAGCGGUGACAUGCAUAGAUAUGAUUCAGAACACCGAUCGCGAAGGCAGCUUGCGAGGAUACGAUUGACGCUGAUGCACGAAAGCGUGGGUAUCGAACAGGAUUAGAUACCCUGGUAGUCCACGCUGUAAACGAUGGAUACUAGGUGUGCGGGGACUGACCCCCUGCGUGCCGCAGUUAACACAAUAAGUAUUCCACCUGGGGAGUACGAUCGCAAGGUUGAAACUCAAAGGAAUUGACGGGGGCCCGCACAAGCGGAGGAGCAUGUGGUUUAAUUCGAUGAUACGCGAGGAACCUUACCCGAACUUGAACGUAUAUUGAAUAACUUGUGAGAAUAAGUUAGUUAGCAAUAACGAUAUACGAGGUGCUGCAUGGUUGUCGUCAGCUCGUGCCGUGAGGUGUCAGGUUAAGUCCUAUAACGAGCGCAACCCCUGCACAUAGUUACCAGCACGUUGAGGUGGGGACUCUAUGUGGACUGCCGGCGCAAGCUGCGAGGAAGGCGGGGAUGACGUCAAAUCAGCACGGCCCUUACGUUCGGGGCGACACACGUGCUACAAUGGCAGAUACAGAGGGCAGCGACGCAGUGAUGCGGAGCGAAUCUCGAAAAUCUGUCUCAGUUCGGAUCGGAGUCUGCAACCCGACUUCGUGAAGUUGGAUUCGCUAGUAAUCGCGCAUCAGCCAUGGCGCGGUGAAUACGUUCCC